rnacentral:misc_RNA from 1 species
GCAAGGUUGCCUGUUGGAACGUUAUGAUGUGUGCAGACCGUGAAGACGUUGGCACAGAAGAGCUUGAUGGAGCAGAGGACGGCCACCUUCCACCACUGGAACGGCGCGUGCCUGUCCGCGGCACGCUGCCACAGUACGACACUCUGUCGGCCAGCUCCCUUCAUAUGACUACCACUGACACGGACUCCAUGUUGUCAGGCGGCUUCAACCGCGGUCCCUUCUUCGCUUCGCCGGGAAAGGCCCUCCACGGUGAGUUUGUAUUUCCCAUCCAAGGUUACGAAGUGAUGGAGGCACGAUCUAAGUUUACCAUCUUUAAGAUGAAGGUGCAGCAUGUGGCAUCACAACAACAAUGGUUUGUGUUUCGACGCUACACAGACUUCGCGCGGCUCAACAAGAAGUUGCGACUAUCGUUUCCUGGUUUGCGCCUCGCGCUACCGCCCAAGCGCUGGUUCGGCGACAACUUUGAUCCGUGUUUUUUGGAGGACCGUAUGCUUGGGUUGCAAGCAUUCGUCACUAACAUCACCAGUCAUCCAGACAUCUCGCGGCACGAGGCGGUGCGCCAGUUCUUCUGUCUGGACGAGCCGCCGGACCCGCGCGACUCCCUCGAGGAGAGCCGUCUGCUUUGCGAGUCACUCGAGGAGACAGCCGGCUCGCAGGAGCUGCUGCUGAAACAGCGGGACCUGGAGAUCGCCAGGCUGCGUGCCCAGCUGGCCAUGGUACGACAGCAAUACGAUGUUCUCGUGGCUCGUCUGAGGAGUGGGCGGCGACCGGGGUCGGCGGGGUCCGCCCGCCGUCGGCUGGGGCCGCUGUUGGGAGUUGACGGCACCCAGUCUGCCAGUCAGACGGACCUCCCUGGCAGCGACUCCGACGGACGGGAGCCACCUCUGGCACCGCUUCCUCCUUCAUGCGAGCGGCAGUGACAAAAUAACAGUGGUAACAAGUGGUGGGCUUGUGGGCUCUGAUCUGAAGGUCUAUCUCAUAAGCUGUGGGUCACCAUCCUGGAUAGCUUACCCUUGUGGCUGUGUAUUGGGGCCUGUGUGAACACUAGACAGCUUUAUACGAGCACUUGAGUUAUCGGUUUCGCUUCGCUAUGCUUACUGGAGUUAUUUCAUUUUACCCUUUUGAUGGUUUUCGGGAUUUGUGCAUUUCUGACAAUUAUUUACCACCAGUUCGUGCUGUAAAUUAUAUCCAUCAACAAGGAAGACAUUGCUCUAGCCGCGAGUCCAAGUUUAUCACGUUAUCAAUCUUGAUAAGGCGCCUAGAACAAGACAUUGUUAAAGGGACCCUCCCACCUUCAAAAAAGUUAAUGAAUUGGCACGAA